rnacentral:lncRNA from 1 species
CUUUAUUAUAACAAUAUUAAUAUAGCAUAGAAUUAUGAGAAAGUAACUUUUUUUCUGUUUAGAAAGCUUAUGUCCAGUGACUUUAUUUUUCCUGACACAUCCAUAUAUGCAGAGAUAAGGGACAUAGUGACUGAAAGGACAAUCCUACUAUGAUUGAAGCUGUUUAGAGGAUUAUUUGUAUCUGGUAUUGUAUUUGUUACUUAAAUAUAUAAAGUAUUGUUUUUAAAAUAUAAAAAUGCAUAGCUACUAGCCUGUAUUUCGUUGCUGAAUUUUGCACAAGAUUUGUGGAUGUUGCAUGAGAUUACUGAAAUCUCUUAUUUCUUGCAAGGUUCAAGCUCUGUCAUGAAUGUAGUCUUCACCACCACCACCAAGACCAGCUGGCAGACCGAAGUAGUUUCCCAUGUGCUCAUGAAAGAAUGGGAGUCCGCCAUGGUUGACUGGCUCUACAGGAUCAGCUUCACACUGGGCAUCUGCAUUUUAUGGGCACCCUGGACAUGCAAGUAG